AGGGUUAUAUUUAAUUAUAAUAUUUGAAUUGCAAUCAAAAGGUAUCUACUAUAACAGAUUAAUCUUU
rnacentral:tRNA from 1 species